CUCCCUGCUUCCAGAGACAAUCAUUUCUGAUUUCCAUGAUCAUAGAUGAGCCCUGCCCAUUCUAGAACUUCACAUAAAUGAAAUCACAGAGUGGACAUUCUUCUGGCCCCAUUCUUCUGUCUGGCUUUCUUUUUUGCUUACUAUGUUUUUUGGGUUCAUCUAUGGUGUUGUAGGCACCUUGACAGACAUCCCUGCAAAAACACUCUGGUUGCUCAGGUGUGAUCUCCAGAAGGGACGUCUCUGUGACCUAGACAUCAGGCCCCAGUAAGGGGAACCUCUCAACUAUGUCCAUGAAGGCUGUGCGAAAAAGCUGCAGAGAAGUGAUGGGCUACAAGCAAGCUGAGGCGCGCAAGAAACACUCGGGACAACAGCCGACAUAACAGGAGAAAGGUAAUAAAGAGGGGAGAAGAAUCUGUAGUUAAUGGGCACGGCAGUCAGAGGCCACUUCCCACACAGCCAAACAGCCCCACAUUACUCCAGGAGCCCUGGAGAACAUUCUUGAAUACAAG
rnacentral:lncRNA from 1 species